AUGUCUCUGUCGUCCAGUCCAUGCUGGAGCGACGACUACAGGCCGGGGCAUAAUCCAGCAGCUAUCAAGAUCGUUACUUAUCCGUUCCCAGAGGUGGACGACCUCCCGAAGGGUGUCGAGAACCUCGGAAAGGCAUCCACACCGGCUGAAUCAUUGCGCAUCAACCUCGCUGCCCUAAGCGAUGCCCUGAUGCGCCCGCCACAGGAGACGCUCAUCCGGGCGCUGUCCCCGGACGCGAUCUUCACCGACAUGCACUUCACCUGGAGCUCCGAUAUCGCUAACGAGCUCGGUGUGCCAUGUGUCGCGUUCAAUGUCAUGGGCGCCUUCCCCAUGCUCGUCGUGCACCACCUUAUCAUCGAUGACGUUGCCGUCGACGAUAAUGAUGUCACAACAGUCCCUCGGUUUCCGUUCCCUCAUAUACGGACCCCGAGGACCGAGCUGCCGGACAUCUUGAGGAGUCGAAACUAUGACGCCGGCAACAUGGUUCAUUCGAUGCAAGCCGACUGCUUUGGCGUCGCCAUCAAUACAUUUUCGGACCUGGAGCGGCGGUACUGCAAGAUGUACGUGCGCGAAGGGUACGUGAAGCGCGCAUACUUUUUAGGGCCUCUCUCGCUGCAACUGCAACAGUCGUCACGGGCCGCCAAAGGUGUUGCCGACUCACGGUUCAUCGACUGGCUUGGCACAAAGCCUAACCGUUCUGUGGUCUACUUGUCCUUCGGCACAUGUGCCCACAUAUCGGAUGCGCAGCUGGACGAGCUUGCUCUUGGGCUGGAGGCCUCAAGACGGUCGUUCAUGUGGGUGGUCAGGGCGGCCGAGAAGUGGGAUCCACCGAAAGGGUGGGAGAAGCGUGUUGGAGACCGGGGGCUCAUCGUCAGAGUGUGGGCCCCACAAAUGGCUAUACUAGCGCACUCGGCAGUGGGUGCAUUCGGGAUGCAGUGUGGGUGGAACUCUGUCCUAGAGGCAGUGGCAGCUGGCGUGCCGAUGCUCACAUGGCCAAAGGUGUACGAGUAG
rnacentral:rRNA from 1 species